ensembl:lncRNA
GCCUGGCCUCGACAAGCUGGGGCAGGUUGUGUGCAUGCCUGCCUUCACCAUACUAAAAGGAGAGAAACAACUGCAGGAGGCUGGGAGAAAGGAGAGAUACUACUACUGGAGGCUGGGAGAAGGAGAGAUACUACUACUGGAGGCUGGUAGAAAGGAGAGAUACUACUACUGGAGGCUGGUUGAAAGGAGAGAUACCACUACUGGAGGCUGGGAGAAGGAGAGAUACUACUACUGGAGGCUGGUAGAAAGGAGAGAAACUACUGCUGGAGGCUGGGAGAAAGGAGAGAUACUACUGCUGGAGGCUGGGAGAAGGAGAGAUACUACUACUGGAGGCUGGUAGAAAGGAGAGAAACUACUGCUGGAGGCUGGGAGAAGGAGAGAUACUACUACUACUGGAGGCUGGGAGAAAGGAGUGAUACUACUACAGCUGGAGGCUGGGAGAAAGGAGAGAUACUACUACUGGAGGCUGGGAGAAAGGAGAGAUACUACUACUGCUGGAGGCUGGGAGACAGGAAAGAUACUACUACUGGAGGCUG